GUGGUUGGGUCUGUCGGUCCGGCACAUUGUGCGGGUACUUGAUGGACUCGUCCAUCCUUGGGUGGAAUCUGUGUGGCAUUAAGUUGUCGUGCAGGGGAUGCCCAUCGUUUACUGUGAAAAAAUUAGAGUGUUCAAAGCAGGCUUAUGCCGUUGAAUAUAUUAGCAUGGAAUAAUGAGAUAGGACCUUGGUACUAUUUUGUUGGUUUGCGCACCGAGGUAAUGAUUAAUAGGGACAGUUGGGGGUAUUCGUAUUCCAUUGUCAGAGGUGAAAUUCUUGGAUUUUUGGAAGACGAACUACUGCGAAAGCAUUUACCAAGGAUGUUUUCAUUAAUCAAGAACGAAAGUUAGGGGAUCGAAGAUGAUUAGAUACCAUCGUAGUCUUAACCAUAAACUAUGCCGACAAGGGAUUGGCGGUCGUUGUAUUGACUCCGUCAGCACCUUAUGAGAAAUCACAAGUCUUUGGGUUCCGGGGGGAGUAUGGU
rnacentral:rRNA from 1 species